GUUAAGGAUGUUGGUAGUGAAUAUGCUCCUGACGAAGAGUCUGAAACUGAGUCGACCGAUUGGGAAGCGCUUACUCCGGAAGUGUUGUCGAAGAAGAAGAAAGGGAAAGAACCGGUAGUUUCAGAAAAAGAAAAAGACAAAGGAAAGGGCAGAGAAAAAGGAAAAGGAAAGGAGAAAUUGGCGUAUUCUCGUAGUCGAAAAAAGAGUGGGGGUAUUGAAAUUCGUGAA
rnacentral:lncRNA from 1 species